rnacentral:lncRNA from 1 species
AAAUGGUAUAUAAAUAUUAUAGCUUAAAACAUUUAUUAUCCCACAUUUUGUGUGUGUGUGUGUGUGUGUGUGUGUGUUCAGGAAUCCUAGUGUGGCUUGGAUCAGCAUCUCUCACUUAGAGUCUCAUAUGUGGUUGUAUUCAAGGUGGAGGAAGGGGAACUGAGGUCUCAUCUGAAGGGUCAACAGGUAGAAUGGGGUGGAACAACAGCAUUUGCUUCAAAAUUUAUUGAAUGUUUGUGGCAAGAUUUUGUUUCUCACAGGGUAAUUUCAAUUUCUUCCUCAUUCUUAGUGGGAAGUCAGCCCCAUCUAAGCAUCUUAGUUUCUUGACAUGUGGGCUGCUUAUCAGGGCAACUCCUAACGUGGUAGGUGGUUUUCCUAAGGUAAGCAGGUAAGAGAAUGAAAAAUAGAGCCUAAUAGGCAAGUCCAAUUCUUUUUGUAAACUCAUCUUAGAAGUCACAUCUGUUCACCUUUUUCAUACCUUAUUUGGAAACUCAUUCACCCACUGAUAUUAUACAAUGAGAAGCAUGACUAUCAGAUGCAGGAGUCACUUGAAACCAUUUUUGAGGUUAAUUAAUUUCUCAAUCCAGGUGAGAUGGUUAUUAAAGGCAAUAACUUUUUGUCUUACAGGCUCAUUUGGUUCUAAAGUAUAAUCAGUAUGUGAUUAUUAAGUAUUGCUUAAGGAUGUUCAAUAACAGAUAACUUCUUGGUAAUAAGACAUCACUUCUGCUCCUGGAAAGCUGUGAUUUUAUACAAAUCUCUUUCUCCAUAAUUUCUCAAAGCAGUAUCAGCCUGUUGAGCCUAUUGGUACAUUUUUGACAUUUACAAGAAGAUGUUUGAGACCAUAGGUUAGGAUAUUGAAUAUUAGGUAGAGAUUGAAUUAAGGAUAGUUGAAUUGCAUUCCUGUCUGAUUUUGAGGGAGUCAUUUUUUAAAAUUUAAAUAUUUCUGAGAGUGUUAAGAGUUGGC